rnacentral:tRNA from 1 species
GAAUAAGAAGCGAAACAUUGCAUUCAGUUUCGACCUGAAAAGUUGGUAAACAAUAUACCCUUAUUCU